rnacentral:rRNA from 1 species
GUGAGGAAUAUUGCGCAAUGGAGGCAACUCUGACGCAGCCAUGCCGCGUGCAGGAAGAAGGCGCUACGCGUUGUAAACUGCUUUUAACCGGGAAGAAGCCCCAGGACGUGUCCUGGGUUGACGGUACCGGAGGAAUAAGCACCGGCUAACUUCGUGCCAGCAGCCGCGGUAAUACGAAGGGUGCAAGCGUUAUCCGGAUUCAUUGGGUUUAAAGGGUGCGUAGGCGGAGCGUUAAGUCAGUGGUGAAAUCCUGCAGCUUAACUGUAGACUUGCCAUUGAUACUGGCGCUCUUGAGUGCGCUUGAAGUGGGCGGAAUGUGCCGUGUAGCGGUGAAAUGCUUAGAUAUGGCACAGAACACCAAUUGCGAAGGCAGCUCACUAAGGCGAUACUGACGCUGAGGCACGAAAGCGUGGGGAUCGAAUAGGAUUAGAUACCCCGGUAGUCC